rnacentral:rRNA from 1 species
UACGUAGGGGGCUAGCGUUGUCCGGAUUUAUUGGGCGUAAAGAGCGUGUAGGCGGCCAGGUAGGUCUGCUGUGAAAACUCGAGGCUCAACCUCGAGACGUCGGCGGAAACCAUCUGGCUAGAGUCCGGAAGAGGAGAGUGGAAUUCCGUGGUGUAGCGGUGAAAUGCGCAGAUAUCAGGAAGAACACCAGUGGCGAAGGCGGCUCACUGGCCCGGUACUGACGCUGAGGUGCGAAAGCGUGGGGAGCAAACAGG